CGUAGGGGCAAGCGUUGUCCGGAAUUAUUGGGCGUAAAGCGCGCGCAGGCGGCCUGUUCAGUCGGAUGUGAAAGACCACGGCUCAACCGUGGGGUGGCAUCCGAAACUGGCGGGCUUGAGUACAGGAGAGGAGAGUGGAAUUCCCGGUGUAGCGGUGGAAUGCGUAGAGAUCGGGAGGAACACCAGUGGCGAAGGCGGCUCUCUGGCCUGUAACUGACGCUGAGGCGCGAAAGCGUGGGUAGCGAACAGGAUU
rnacentral:rRNA from 1 species